rnacentral:rRNA from 1 species
CAGUUCGGAUUGAAGGCUGAAAUUCGCCUUCAUGAAGCCGGAAUUGCUAGUAAUGGCAGGUCAGCAUACUGCCGUGAAUACGUUCCCGGGCCCUUGUACACACCGCCCGUCACACCAUGAGAGUUGGGAAUACCCGAAGCCUGUGAGCUAACGAAAGAGGCAGCAGUCGAAGGUAGAAUCAAUGAUUGGGGUGAAGUCGUAACAAGGUACC